AACUCGGAGGAAGGUGGGGACGACGUCAAGUCAUCAUGCCCCUUAUGUCCAGGGCUUCACACAUGCUACAAUGGCCGGUACAGAGGGCUGCGAUACCGUGAGGUGGAGCGAAUCCCUUAAAGCCGGUCUCAGUUCGGAUCGGGGUCUGCAACUCGACCCCGUGAAGUCGGAGUCGCUAGUAAUCGCAGAUCAGCAACGCUGCGGUGAAUACGUUCCCGGGCCUUGUACACACCGCCCGUCACGUCAUGAAAGUCGGUAACACCCGAAGCCGGUGGCCUAACCCUUGUGGAGGGAGCCGUCGAAGUGGGAUCGGCGAUUGGGACGAAGUCGUAACAAGGUAGCCGUACCGGAAGGUGCGGCUGGAUCACCUCCUUUCUAAGGAG
rnacentral:rRNA from 1 species